rnacentral:rRNA from 1 species
AUUGAACGCUGGCGGCGUGCUUAACACAUGCAAGUCGAGCGGUAACAGGUGUAGCAAUACAUGCUGACGAGCGGCGAACGGGUGAGUAAUGCUUCGGAAUCUUCCUCGUAGUGGGGAAUAACCUGGGGAAACUCAGGCUAAUACCGCAUACGAACUACGGUUGAAAGCAGGGGAUCGCAAGACCUUGCGCUAUGAGAUGAGCCGAAGUCGGAUUAGCUAGUUGGUGAGGUAAAGGCUCACCAAGGCGACGAUCCGUAGCUGGUCUGAGAGGACGACCAGCCACACUGGGACUGAGACACGGCCCAGACUCCUACGGGAGGCAGCAGUGGGGAAUAUUGGACAAUGGGCGCAAGCCUGAUCCAGCCAUGCCGCGUGAGUGAAGAAGGCCU